GUUUAAUCUGGAAAUAUUAUUUUAUAUUUAUUUAUCAAUUUUCCCAAUAUUUUUUCUUCUAGUUCCGGCAUACAGUGCUAAUUGUUAUUGAUAGACUGAAUUAUUCGAAAGUUCUCGAAGCAUCUAGUAAAAGUUUUCAUAUCCCUGAUCUCCGAUGUCCCCAAGCUCACCUACCAUGUCAAAAAUCAAGUUGUUGGUCUUGUUUUUCAUUUUGUAUGAGAUGAAAUUCUACCUGUCCUGGAUGGAUUAUGCAUAAUUGGGUUAUAUUAUUAUCCGGCUAACUUUAAGGACUAAAUACUACUCCUGCGAGGUAACAAUCUAAACUGAACUAUCAUAUAAUUGGCACAUGAUUUAAGAAAUUGUAAUACUAUAGAUACUUCUGUAUUUUUAUGAGGUCAGGAACUUGUUUCUUAAAUUUUUAUGUCACCCUGGAGAUUGUCACGGUGUUAUUGUUAUAGACGGAUAAAAAGUUGUAAGUAGUUUUGGAUUUCAGGAAUGGCAACCAUAUCAAUUGUUCCUUAUCGGACAAAGCUAGCAUUACCAUUUCAUGUCCCACUGUAUCUCUAGCUUGCUCCAACCAGCAGUGCGACAACCAGUAACUACAUGAAAAGAUGACACGCGUACCGUUCAUAGAUUCACUGACUACGAAGAUGAGUUGUAGUCCACCAUUAAGAUGACGUCAACCACCAAGUUUCAAAUUACAAUGGCAUGCAUAAUGUAAUCUCCAUGUCCAACUGCAAUGAAUCAAACAAGAUCAAGCCUUGCUCAACCAACGAAAAGAGCAAAAUGGGUUUGAAGGUCCAUGGUCGAAAAAUAAGUGUAAAUGACUCAAAACUAAUUACCAUAUGGUAGACCUGAUCACAUAGGUAUAUGUUCACAAAUGUAGUUGGAGCUACUCGAUGUCUACAUUCCUCACAAACCGUAUCUAAUUAUUGAGCUGGAAGAACACAACUAAUCUUGCAUAAAUUACUAAAUUUUUUCUAGAACGUUCAAAGAUUAAGACAUGUAAUCGACUGAACACAAGAUAACAGAAUUUCAAAGCAGUCCUUCAAUUUAUUUCAUCACUAUUAAAGCUCCUAACAGGUUUAUAGAAUAUGUCAUAAAUUUUUUCUCUAUCUCUUACCCGUAAUAAAAUUAAUAAGAGAAUGGAUCAAUCUGUCUCAGUCGAAAAUCUGAAAAUGCUUAUAUUACAACUCGUGUGGGUGAAUAGUGAAAGUAAGGUCCCCACCAAACUGGAGAACCGAUAACAGGAAUAUUUAUAUCCUAAUAGAGCUAUGUAAGAUCCGGGUAGGAUUUAUCUUACUCAAGCUUGCGUCUGGUUGCUGUUGUUGCAGCUCACGAAUUUGUGUUGUUGGAACUUGGGACUAGAAUAAUUGUACAGUUUGUUUCUCACUUAAAUAUUUGACGCUUCCUCUAUGAUCCAUAGUCAAGCUUGCAUUCACGUAUUUAUAUUGCCAUUGCACGUGGGAGUUAUCCGUAUAAAAUUCGGGAAAGAAGUAACUUUGCGGUAUAGUCCGAUAUCUCACCAAAGACAAGUUGUUUCCAAGUAUACAAGGUUAAUUUCUUCAUCUCAUAUACAGAUAAACUUUUUACGGAUUCAAAAUUAAUAAAUAAUUAACCAUUUUCCCAAUUUUGCCUAUGUGGGAUUGAAGAUCGUCAGAAAUUCCCUGCAACUCAAUUUUAGUGUCUGCCAUUUUAGUGCAAUUGCCCUUCGGUCAAGCACACUGUUUCAACACACAAUUGUUUUUACCUCCAAUCUUAAUUGUUCUACAACCACAUUUGCAUCUCUUCUGGAAUGAUGACACCAACAAGUUUGACAAACCAAGUGCAAGCAAAAUAAAUACAUUCAACAUCAAUAUGAAAAGAACAUUGAUGGAGGAUGAAUCACCAACCAACAAUGUACUAUUAUAACCAAUAAUACGCAUUAAAAAACUGUCAACUGACACCAUUUUGUACCUUCUUCACUGAGAUUAGUAUUGAUCGUGAGAGGAUACAUGUACUUUAUUCUUUAUUCAAGCCCCAUUUAAAAAUAAAUACAAAUAUGUUUUA